CUUGCACUAAAGACUUUAGAUACAAGUACUAUUAUUAUUUCCUUUUUACAGGCAUGGUAAUCUGGAUUCAGAGACAUUAAGAGACUUGUUUAAGAUCACAAAACUAGUAAGAAGCACAGCUGAUAUGGAAACCCAGAGUUUGAGAUCCUAUAUACUGCUCGCGGUUCUUUAUGACCCCUCACAGAAGAAACACAUCAAGAUGCUAAGAAGAACUGUGAGUCUUCAGGUCCAGAUGAAGACAGAAGUAGCUGAGAGAUCAUCUCUUGUAAACUGAAGUAGGGUAAAAAUCCUCCACCCAAAAUACAAGUCUAGAGCCAAGCCCACUGCCUACAACCAUAGCCCAAGGAAUGUUAUCCCUAUUCAGGAGUGGAAGUUAAGGUAAGUUACUUCUGAACGCUGCCAGGAGUUAUGAUGCUUAUGUGAUGUUCAGUUCCUAGAGGAAUAGGUGUACAUGGAUAUGAAUUCAUGAUCAGUGGAUAAGCUAAAAUACCUGCUGGGUUGGUCACUAGAUCAGUAGAACUCCAUGUAAAGUCCUGGGGUAGGGGUACCAGGUAGAGGCAACUCCAAGGCCACAAGGCAGGAAGAAAGUAGGAGAGAUGGCAAAAAAUGGAGAGAGUUAUUACAAGAUUAGUCGGAAGACUGAGGCUUAAAAGGAUGACAAAUAUUACGUAGAUAAAAAUCAGCAAUCAGAGGAUAAUUUCAUAUCAGGUCAAACUAAAAUAGAAUCAUCUGAAGAUUUUAAUACAAGUGUGUUUAAUAUCCUUCAAGAAAUAACUAAUGAAAAAAACAGAAGAAGAAAAUAAACUAUGGAAAAAAAUCAGAUAUGAGGUAAGAAAAAAG
rnacentral:lncRNA from 1 species